CCCCUAGUAACGGCGAGUGAAGAGGGAAAAGCUCAAAUUUAAAAUCUGGCGGUCUACGGCCGUCCGAGUUGUAAUCUAGAGAAGUGUUUUCCGCGCUGGACCGUGUACAAGUCCUUUGGAACAAGGCGUCAUAGAGGGUGAGAAUCCCGUCUACGACACGGACUGCCAAGCGCUUUGUGAUACACUCUCAACGAGUCGAGUUGUUUGGGAAUGCAGCUCAAAAUGGGUGGUAAAUUCCAUCUAAAGCUAAAUAUGGGCGAAAGACCGAUAGCGAACAAGUACCGUGAGGGAAAGAUGAAAAGCACUUUGGAAAGAGAGUUAAACAGUACGUGAAAUUGUUGAAAGGGAAACGCUUGAAGUCAGUCGCGUCUUCAGAAAUUCAGCAGGGCUUCUGCCCUGUGUACUUUUCUGUGGGACGGGCCAGCAUCAGUUUUGGCUGCCAGAAAAAGGUGGGAGGAAGGUGGCACCUCUGGGUGUGUUAUAGCCUCCGAUCGUAUGUGGCAGCCGGGACUGAGGACUGCAGCACGCCUUCAUGGCCGGGGUUCGCCCACGUAACGUGCUUAGGAUGCUGGCGUAAUGGCUUUAAGCGACCCGUCUUGAAACACGGACCAAGGAGUCUAACAUGCCUGCGAGUAUUUGGGUGGCAAACCCAUAUGCGCAAUGAAAGUGAACGGUUGGGACUUCUGUCAUGGAAGGCACCGACGCCCGGACCAGACCUAUUGUGACGGAUCCGAGGUAGAGCAUGUAUGUUGGGACCCGAAAGAUGGUGAACUAUGCCUGAGUAGGGUGAAGCCAGAGGAAACUCUGGUGGAGGCUCGUAGCGAUUCUGACGUGCAAAUCGAUCGUCGAACUUGGGUAUAGGGGCGAAAGACUAAUCGAACCA
rnacentral:rRNA from 2 species